CCUAAAUACUAACCAUUUACCGAUAGUGAAUAAGUACUGUGAAGGAAAGAUGAAAAGAACCCAGAGAUGGGAGUGAAAUAGACCAUGAAACCUUUUGCUUACGAAGAGUCAUAGGCCAUUUAUGGCUAAUGGCGUGCGUUUUGAAGUAUGAGCCGGCGAGUUAUUGUUGCAUGCGAGGUUAAGCAAUCAAAAGCGGAGCCGUAGCGAAAGCGAGUGUGAAUAGUGCGUUUAGUAUGUGGCAACAGACCCGAAACGGGAUGAGCUAUCCAUGGGCAGGUUGAAGGUGGAGUAAUAUCUACUGGAGGACCGAACCGACUGCCGUUGAAAUGUUAGCGGAUGACUUGUGGAUAGGGGUGAAAUUCCAAUCGAAUUCCGUGAUAGCUGGUUCUCGUCGAAAUAGUUUUAGGACUAGCGUUGGAUUAUUGAUAUCUUGGAGGUAAAGCACUGAAUUCCUGAUGGCGCAAUCUUUGUGUACUGAAUGAAAUUAAACUUUGAAUGCCAAUUUGUCUAUUCCAGCAGUGAGACUAUGGGGGAUAAGCUCCAUGGUCGCGAGGGAAAGAGCCCAGACUAACAAAUAAGGUCCCUAAAUUUAGCUAAGUGGAGAAGGAAGUCAAAAUUCUUAAACAACUAGUAUGUUGGCUUAGAAGCAGCCACCAUUUAAAGAGUGCGUAAUAGCUCACUAGUCUAGUUUUUUGGCACCGAAGGUAUAACGGGGCUAAGCUAAAUACCGAAUUUUUAGACUAUUUUUAAUAGUGGUAGACGAGUGUUGUAUAUUCGAUGAAGGUUGAGCGUGAGUACAACUGGAGUUUAUACAAGUAAGAAUGCCGGCGUGAGUAACGUAUGAAAGUUAAAAUCUUUCUAGCCGAUUGAUCAAGGUUUCCAGGGCAAGGGUCAUCCUCCCUGGGUUAGUCGGUCCUAAGAUGAGGCCGAAAGGCGUAGUCGAUGGGCAGCGAGUUAAUAUUCUUGCACCAGUUUAGUUAGUGAUGGGUUGACAGAAGAGGUUAAUGCGGGCGGAUUACUGGAUUUCCGCUUAAGUUGUAACUGUUUCAGGUAGUUAAAUGCGCCUGAUUUUCGCGGGAGCAACGAAUACGAGUGAACCCUACGGGUAGUAGCGAAGCCGCAAACAUCAUAUUCUCAAGAAAAGACUCUAAACUUAUAGCUAAUCUGUCCGUACCGAGAACGAACACACGUGAUCAAGGAGAAAAUCCUAAGGCUAUCGAGAUAACUACAGUUAAGGAACUCUGCAAAAUAGCCCCGUAACUUCGGGAGAAGGGGUGCCUAAUUUGCUUUAGGCCACAGUAAAGAAUGAGGGGGGACUGUUUAACAAAAACAUAGCUUUAUGCGAAAUCGUAAGAUUAGGUAUAUGAGGCGACACCUGCCCAGUGCCAGAAGGUCAAUGAAGGAUGUUAGCUUUUGCGAAGCAUUUAACUUAAGCCCUGGUGAACGGCGGCCGUAACUAUAACGGUCCUAAGGUAGCGAAAUUCCUUGUCAGGUAAAUUCUGUCCCGCUUGAAUGGUGUAACC
rnacentral:rRNA from 1 species